UCUAUCUUGUUAGCAAAAUGACCUUCUCUAUAUCUAUGGCGUUUGCGUAGUCUCCUAGUGCCGGCCAUUAUGAUCCACCCGUUGGUUCAGAAUCCUUUUCUCUCCUUCUCAUAUUUGGCAGCCUCAUGUGCCACUUAGAAAAAUGUUGCAUCAUAUGGGUGAAGGUAGUAUAGGUAUUUUACUGACAUUUAAAAGUUUUAAUUUUUUUUAAUACAUCACCAUUUGUAGUAUUUUUGAAUGUGUACCCUCUUAUACUUUGGGCCAUAACAUCUCAUUCAUCACUAGAUCUUCGAUAAACCAAACCUCAUUCCAACCGUUGUUGCAACAUCUACCUCAGCCAUCCACAAUGAGCUUAACUUCAAAAAAGAAGAAAAACUAACCCAUUUAUAGAAUCUUGUUCGGCCUUAAAACUCAAUCACUCUCCUCACUUAGACCUAGCUCUUGGAAUUAACAAAUACAAGAUUAGAGAAGAGGGGAUGGAGCGGUGCACAACACGCACAAGGAGAGAAAAUGUUUCAUGGAAGGACACACACUUAGUGAAUUGGAUAGAGAGAGAGAGAGCUAGAGAGGAGUCCAAAGUUGAGGAGUCGAGCACAUGGUUUCACGACAGCGACAAGAAGUGGUCUCUCCUCAACUUCGAAGACAAAGAGGCCCAACGCUUAGUUGGUGAUACACUGCCAUGACGAUGCGGUCGAGGGGAGAGGCCACAAUCUGGAAACAAUGCGGAUUGAAGAUUCAAGGAAGAGGGCAUGUUUUGGCAAGAAAAAUGGAUUUUGAAGAUGUACUGGGCGCCCAGCGGCCUGCAGAGGUCGCCCCGCGCCCAAGGCGGUGCCAGAAACCUUCCCCUGAAGUUAUCUGGCCGCUCAGCGCCCAUAACAGGCCGCCCAGCGCCCUGUACUGCGUUUUUUCAAUAUAAAAAGCUUCUUUAAAGAAUCUGGAAAGGAACUGGAUUAGAACUUGGACCCAACUCAGAGAAACACUUGAGAGACAAGGAGGGAGGCUUAGGAGGCUAGAGAAGAAGCUCCGGAGGUCGGAUUCGACGGCGAGACAUCGCGACAGUUUCGGUUCUUCUCAUUCUUCUUCUCUAUUUGUAAAGCUAUCCAUGAAAAUGGAUAGUUAAUCUCUCUUUUGUUGGGAUUUGAUGUAGUUGUAUGAUACUUAUGCUCUCUAUGUGAUUCUUUUCAAUAUAAAGCAUGUUUUUAGUUGUUGAUUUA